GAGAGGAACGGGGGCUCGCAGCCACUAGUUUACCAGUUGUCCGACAGGGCAUUGCUGGGCAGCCACGCUGCAAGGGAUAAGAGCUGAAAGCAUCUAAGCUCGAAACCCACCCCGAGACGAGGCACUUUGACGCCCGUAGAAGACGGGAUGAUAGGACCGGGGUGUACGCACCGAGAAUUAUAGUGGUGCCAGAAACCGCUUCGGUGGCGGAAGGUACCACUUCGAGGUGUUCAGCCCGCCGGUUACUAAGAGUUAUUACUGCUAUCAGG
rnacentral:rRNA from 1 species